AGCUAUGAUUCCCAUUCACAUCCAUCGUAAGACUGACAGACUGCAACGAUUUGUGUUAAACUGAAAAAACAAAGUCACCUACAUCUCAUAUGCCCUGGGGGCUGUAUUUCAGAUCAUCACCAGCAGGGAGCGUCUAUUUCCACAUUACGGAAUGACUGUGGCUUCCUACAACAUUCCUCAAUGAAAAUCUGCUGUGCUGUGGCAGCUUACCUCUCCACACAAUCAGAGAGACGUGAACAAUGGUUUGAAGCUGGUGCAUCGUGUCCUCCGACUGCAUACAAGAAACUGUUAUAUGUGGCCACGCCCACUCCUCCCC